GAUGGCGAUCCUUGUGGGUAAGUGUUUGUAUGUUCUCCCCGUGUGUGCGUGGGUUUUCUCCGGGUACUCCGGUUUCCUCCCACAUGCCAAAAAACAUGCAUGUUAAGUUAAUUGGGGACUCUAAAUUGUCCAUAGGUAUGAAUGUGAGUGGGAAUGGUUGUUUGUCUGUAUGUGCCUGGCGAUUGGCUGGCAACCAGUCCAGGGUUUACCCCGCCUCUCGCCCGAAGUCAGCUGGCUCCAGCAUACUCGCGACCCUAGUGAGGAUAAGCGGCAUAGAAGAUAGAUAGAUGGAUGGAUGGAUGGAUGGAUGGAAGGAAAUGUAGUGUGCUGUACCCAGAUGUACACGAAAUACACCCUAAAUGGGUCAUCAGCCGGGAGCCAUCCAUCACAGAUGCUUCGCUCCUUUAAUCCCAGGACAUCGCCAGGUGGUGGAGCAGUGGCAGAGACAUCUCUUUGCCACUUCCUGCAGCAAGGACUAGGAUCCUUCCCUCCCCCAAGCCUGGUCGUUUCACUGGCGCCACAGCCCAAAUUUUCCGUAUUCUGCUUCUUCUCCUAGGUUUUUUUGGGGGCUUUUUCAAUUUGGGGCCUCUGAUGCCCAGAGUCUUCAGGAACCGCUGGGUGGUGGUUCCAGUGUGGACUCUACAGCCGGCUUUCAUUGGGCACAUGGAGGACCUCCAACCGGAUUGUGUGCAUGCAGCUGAGAUCUCUGCAUAUUUGUCCAUCUUCCUCUCAAAGGCAGCCCCCAUAUCCUCUUCCCAUAAGACUGUUAGCUCAGCCAUGAUGACAGACUUUGUAGCAGUGAACCAGAGCGUGAUAGCUGGUCGUAGAGAAGCAAAGGGAAAAAUUGUUGACUGUCAAUUUUGUUUGCAAGACAGGUGGAUGAUAUCAGUAGUGGAACAAAACCACCCACAUCUUCUUCUUUGCAAUGUCUAUGUGUACACCAUGCUGCAAAUGUUGAGUCUUUUAAAAUAUAUCCCAAGUAAGUACCAUAAAUGCAUAGGACACUUUAAUGCAGCUUCAAACACUAACCUUGACAGGUUUUCACAAAAAACAAUAACCCUGUCACUAAUGCAGUAAUUCACCCGUUCUGUAACAACCUAUCGUUGCUAAACCCCUUUAGAAUUCUUCAUCCAGACUCAACUGUUUUAACUGGGUCUAAAAGGAAUUUCAAACACUUGGUUACUGUUACACAGCCAUGUGGGGUUUUAUGGACGUAUUCAUGCUAUCCAUAACGAUGGUUUUGUCUUACCGCGGGGGUAGCACACUCAACAAGAUGUCUUUUUUGGGUCUCACUGCACACAUCGGCCCUCCUCCUCCUCCUCCUUCCCUUGCUAAUCCAAUCUUGCGGUGAGUGGGAUAUUUCAAUCUCUUUUUGAAAAUGCAAAUUUCCUCCACUUCAGUGUUAAAAAAAAAUCACCAACCUCUGCAAAGGUGACCACAAAAAGGAGGCUGAAGAGACACUUGCAGCUUGGGAACCGGGGGUUGUGAACCCUGCAAUAGAUGAAAAGACAAAACCUGGUGAGGGAGGCAUCCAGCAAGCCUACAGCAUCACUUGAGGAAGAAAUGUGCGGCAUCUUGAUAAAAUGAAGGUUGAACUUUUGGUCAAUGUCAGUGUAUAAAUGAAAUAAAAAAAAUCUUCAAAUCAUGUUAAAAAGCUGAAGAUAUGGCAAUGACUGCCAGAGUAAAUUCUCGAAAACUGAGUACACACCUCACAUCAGCAACCAUCUGCUUUCCAAGCUGUACGCUGACUUCUGUAAGUUUCAUUUCGGUACUACCGUAUUCCUUGAGAAGAUACAAUAAAAUGGUUGCUGAAAACA